CUAUAUUCUACUACUCUUUUUAAGUCCACAGCUUUUCUUGAGAUUACAACCAGAAUAUACAAGGAAUGUUGGGGCAAUCGGGGAGAGAGAGAGAGAGUUCAUACCAUCGCCGAUUACGCUUCUCCCUUGGCCAUUGACCGUGAAGCUGGGGCUCAUACCCAAUAGUUCAGAUGAGAGAGGGGUUUGGGCCAUUUUCCUUGUGUAAUUCUUCAAUUUGUGUUCGCCAUCGACAAGUCUAUUUUUCUCUUUCUAUGUCGCUUUGUGUUGCUCUUUAACUCCUUUUUGUAUUGGGGGUUUGCCUUCUAUUUCGUGUUGCAAUUGCUUAAUUAAUUGAUUUUAAUUGUUUAUUUAAACUCAUUUUGUGACUCUCUCUCUCACACACACAAAAGUCAAUCAACAAUGACAUUGUUAGCUGGGUGGGAAUAAAAUAAUUUGUGCAUCUACAUAAAACUCUCUGCCUCAAGGAAAAUUAACUCACAAGUUUAGAAAAACAAUGGUAAGUAGAUUGCACAAACUAAAACACUUUUAAUAAUUAAAAAGAAAUAUAAAAUCAAUCAUAAUCAAGACUCUCUUCAGGUAUAAUCAAAAAUAUUUUCAAUAAUAAUCAAAAUGGAUCGUAACUAACACCAAAAUGAGUCAUUUGAUACAUAACUAAAAUCUUGAGUUAUUAUUAAGUCAUAACAAAUAUCACAAUUGAUCAUAAUUAAAACCACAAAAAUUGUAACUAGCAAAUACACUCUUUAUUGGGAGUUUGUAUUAUAGAAUUUGCCACGGCAAUAUGAUAUCCAGCUACAGUACCUAGCCAAGUGCAUUGGCUCUACCAAACCUUCUCAUCCAAAAUCAUGUGCAUCGCACUAGGGCACUUGAAGCUUCACUUCUAUAUCUGGUACUCUUUCUAUCUAUCUAUAUCUUACACAAUGUGCUUCAUCUUUAAGCUUUUACAAAAUUAGAAGAACUUUUUUUAAGAAAUUAGGGAUAGGGUUUUGUUCUUGCAAAUAGUUUGACAGAUUUUGACAUUUUUGUUUUUUUGGAGGUCUUGGUUUGAGAGAAGUCUCAGGUGCUUUGUUUUCUUCAGAUGAGUUUUUGGUGCUUGUUUCAAAUUUCUAUUCAAUUUAUGUCUUUUAUAUGUUUGACAAAAUGUCAAAACCAAACAUAAUAUACAUGUUCCUCUUAGCCCUACACUCAACAAAGAUAAUAGAGGGGUGUUACUUGUAACCCAAUUUGUGAAAGUAAUGAUACAAUAUUAUUUAUUGGGGGCUUUCCAUUUUCUGAAAAGAUGACGUGCUCUAUGAUGAUAGGUGAUUCUUACAAUCGCGGAGAAAGAAUAGACACUUGAUUUGUUGGUUGGCUUGUUGUUUUUCUUGCUUUGCUUUGUUGGUUUCUCACCAACUGGAGCUUGGAGCUUGUGCUAGUUCCAAGCUCGUCUUUAUUAAUGUAAUCUUCUUCUCAUCAAUAGAGAUUUCUUUUGAGGAUCAAAAUGGAGAAAGAAUAGACACUUCUUAAUUUUGGGGCUGAUCCGAACUUUGCGACAGAAGAGGUCUCCUAUGAGGUAGGAACAUCUGGGAAUAGAGGAAUAGUUUCUAGUCCAGCAUAUCAUUGCAAGAAAUGCCAGAUAGUUGUUGCAUUGCAAGAGAAUAUUGUGGAUCAUGUUUCAGGAGAAUCACAAACAUCCUUUGGGUGGCAUAAGAAGAAAAGUAGCAACCCUUUCAACAAGUGUGAUUAGAUUGAGUGCUCAUCCAUCUUUUGUUGAGGCUCUACGUUUGAUGACAACAACACAAAGUCCCUAUCUUUUGAUUUUUGUUACCCCGUGGCACCAGUUGAAGAAUGCGUUAGAGGGGAAGCUUUAUAUGUCCAUUGCGAAGCUCUCUUGGAUUACUUCAAUUAUUGGUCAGGCAUCCAAUGCAGUUGUGGCAGCUGGAUCACCCCCACACUUUCAGCUCUAUAAAAGCUGAGUUGACAUAAACAGUGUCUGAUAUUUUUUGAGGCAGAAUAGGUAUGCCUAUCACUUUGCUAGAAGAUAGAAGACAGUAAAGAGGGGGCUUAAACGAACCCAACAUCUACCUAGUAAUAAACCUAAAUUGCGGUACCAAUAAUAUGAAAGCACAAUUUUUGAGUUGAGGGUUGGAUGUUUGAGAACUUGUUUGUAAGGAACUCCUGUUAUGUCAAUCACGUAACGUUUGCGAAGUUGUUUUCUUCCUUGAACUGGAAUUGGACCUUUGCCUUUGGGGGAGUCAUAAGCUGCAAAGGAUCAAACUUCCGCUUUCUACUGGGCAAGCGAGACUGGUUGUGUUGAAAUGUCAUUUCUUUCAUCUUCUCAAUUGCCAUUUCCCUCAUUCGCUGCAUUAUGAAAGGAUCGAUUGCUUGCAUUUUGCAUGAUGGCUUUGACAAUCGCCAGCUAGGUAGUGAUGCUCACUACUCCAAGAAGUCUUUGGGUAUGUCUUCCCACUUCAGUUAUGAUUUGGAGUUGAUGUUGGAGUUGGAGACGGAGGUGGAUGAGGAGGACUUGUAGCAUUUGCCCUACGACGAGGACCACCAAGAGGAUCGCAAU